AAGGAGUUAGUUAAUUAAUAACACUGGUAUGUCAAACCAGAAUAACUAACUAUUAGUACCCCUUU
rnacentral:tRNA from 1 species